UGCCAUGCUGCACCUACUGUUGUGUCAGUAAAAACACUGCUGGCCUCACUCUGUCCCCCAGACACUGACCGCCAGAGUUGUGCUGAUGGUACGUGAUGAGCUCCGGGAUGGUGUUGAACAGGUGCUUUUCUGCCAGGAACAGGCGCUUCUUGAAGUUGAGGGGAGACGUUUUCUUCUUCUGCUGCGAGCGCUUCAAGAAGAUGCUCUCCAGGAUGACGCUGGCCAUGUCGGCCUCCCCGGCCUCCUCCGCGCCGUGCUCGCUGGAUUGCUGUGGGCAGGACAACAGCGACAGGGAGCUGGCUGAGCCAAAAACCUGCUGACAGCUGGACCUUGCUCAGGCUGAGGACCAAGCCCUGACCCAGCCGAUUUUCGGCUGCGAGAAGCGUAGC